CAGCCGCCGCGGUAAAACGUAGGUCCCGAGCGUUGUCCGGAUUUAUUGGGCGUAAAGCGAGCGCAGGCGGUUAGAUAAGUCUGAAGUUAAAGGCUGUGGCUUAACCAUAGUACGCUUUGGAAACUGUUUAACUUGAGUGCAAGAGGGGAGAGUGGAAUUCCAUGUGUAGCGGUGAAAUGCGUAGAUAUAUGGAGGAACACCGGUGGCGAAAGCGGCUCUCUGGCUUGUAACUGACGCUGAGGCUCGAAAGCGUGGGGAGCAAACAGGAUUAGAUACCCGCGUAGUCCCUGUCUCUUAUACA
rnacentral:rRNA from 1 species